AACUAUAACGGUCCUAAGGUAGCGAAAUUCCUUGUCAGGUAAGUUCUGACCCGCAUGAAAGGCGUAAUGAUCUGGGCACUGUCUCAACAGCCCGCCCGGCGAAAUUGUAGUACCGGUGAAGAUGCCGGUUACCCGCGACAAGACGGAAAGACCCCAUGGAGCUUUACUGUAGCCUGAUAUUGGGUUUCGGUGUUGCAUGCACAGGAUAGAUGGGACACUGGGAAGGCAGUGCUUUGGCAUUGCUGGAGUGGACGUUGGGAUACCAUCCUUGCGACAUUGGAAUUCUAACCUGCGCCUCUGAAUCGAGGCGGGGGACAUUGUCAGGUGGGCAGUUUGACUGGGGCGGUCGCCUCCUAAAAAGUAGCGGAGGCGUUCAAAGGUUCGUUCGAUCUGGACGGAAACCAGAUGAUUGAGUGCAAACGCAUAAACGAGCCUGACUGCGAGACUGACGGGUCGAGCAGAGACGAAAGUCGGAGUUAGUGAUCCGGUGGUAUGUGAGUGGAAAUGCCAUCGCUCAACGGAUAAAAGUUACCCUGGGGAUAACAGGCUGAUCUCCCCCAAGAGUCCACAUCGACGGGGAGGUUUGGCACCUCGAUGUCGGCUCAUCGCAUCCUGGGGCUGAAUUCGGUCCCAAGGGUUUGGCUGUUCGCCAAUUAAAGCGGUACGCGAGCUGGGUUCAGAACGUCGUGAGACAGUUCGGUCCCUAUCUGUCGUGGGCGCAGGAUAUUUGAAAGGCGCUGUCCCUAGUACGAGAGGACCGGGAUGGACGAACCUCUGGUGCACCAGUUGUCACGCCAGUGGCACAGCUGGGCAGCUAUGUUCGGAUCGGAUAAACGCUGAAAGCAUCUAAGCGUGAAGCCGGCCUUAAGAUAAGAUAUCCCACUGAGUCAAUCAGGUAAGACCCCUUGAAGACUACAAGGUUGAUAGGCACACAGUGUAAGCGGAGUGAUCCGUUCAGCUAGCGUGUACUAAUAGGUCGAGGGCUUGACCC
rnacentral:rRNA from 1 species